rnacentral:rRNA from 1 species
GAAGUCUAACAUGUGCGCGAGUCAUUGGGCUGAAAACCCAAAGGCGGAAUGAAAGUGAAGGGAGCUUUGCUUUCCGAGGGAGGAUGAGCGUGUCAGCUGAAAGGGCGGCGCUCCGCACUCCCGAGGCGUCUCUUUCUCAUUGCGAGUGGAGGCGCACUCAGAGCGCUCACGUUAGGACCCGAAAGAUGGUGAACUAUGCCUGGUCAGGACGAAGCCAGGGGAAACCCUGGUGGAGGUCCGUAGCGAUUCUGACGUGCAAAUCGAUCGUCAGAGCUGGGUAUAGGGGCGAAAGACUAAUCGAACCAUCUAGUAGCUGGUUCCCUCCGAAGUUUCCCUCAGGAUAGCUGGCACCCACGAUACUCGAGUCUCAUCUGGUAAAGCGAACGAUUAGAGGCAUUGGGGCCGAAACGACCUCAACCUAUUCUCGAACUUUAAAUAGAUGAGAGCUCCGGCUUGCUUAACAGUGAAGCCGGAGACUCGGAUCAGGGCGCCCAGUGGGCCGAUUUUG